AUUGAACGCUGGCGGCAGGCCUAACACAUGCAAGUCGAACGAGUGGCGGACGGGUGAGUAAUGUCUGGGAAACUGCCUGAUGGAGGGGGAUAACUACUGGAAACGGUAGCUAAUACCGCAUACCAUCGGAUUUGCCCAGCUGGGAUUAGCGAGUGGGUGGGGUAAAGGCUCACCUAGGCGACGAUCCCUAGCUGGUCUGAGAGGAUGACCGGCCACACUGGAACUGGGACACGGUCCAGACCCCAACGGGGGGAAGAAGGGGGGAACAUUGCACAAUGGGCGCAAGCCUGAGGCAGCAAGGCCUGGGGUAUAAAGAGGGCCUUCGGGUUGUAAAGUACUUUCAGCGGGGAGGCGUUACCCGCAGAGGAAGCACCGGCUAACUCCGUGCCAGCAGCCGCGGUAAUUC
rnacentral:rRNA from 1 species